UUUGCGCAUGGGCGAAGCCUGACGCAGCGACGCCGCGUGGGGGAUGAAGGCCUUCGGGUUGUAAACCCCUUUCCUCAGGGACGAUAAUGACGGUACCCGCAGAAAAAGCCCCGGGCAACUACGUGCCAACAGCCGCGGUAAUACCUAGGGGGCAAGCGUUGUCCGGAUUUAUUGGGCGUAAAGGGCUCGUAGGCGGGUUGGUAAGUCCGCUGUGAAAACUCCCGGCUCAACCCGGAGACGGCCCUCGAUACUGCCAUGACUAGAGGCCGGUAAAGGAAGGUGGAAUUCCCGGGGUAGCGGUGAAAUGCGCAAAUAUCCGGAGGAAUACCGAUGGCGAAGGCGGCUCUCUGGGCCGUUCCUGACGCUGAGGAGCGAAAGCGUGGGGAGCAAACAGGAUUAAAUACCCUGGUAGUCCACGCCGUAAACGUUGGGUACUAGGUGUGGGGGCUAUUCAACGCCUUCCGGGCCAUAACUAACGCAUUAAGUGCCCCGCCUGGGAAGCACGCCCGCAUGGUUAAACCAAGGGGUUUUUGGGCGCGG
rnacentral:rRNA from 1 species